rnacentral:lncRNA from 1 species
ACUGUUCGUAAGAAUUAUCUAAUCACUUUUGUAUAAUCACUAGCUGGAAUUGUCCGAAAUGCACUUGUAAGAUGAAAUUGUCCAAAUAGUUAUAUUCCUUCGAUAGAACUGGCUCCAGGGUUGAAGGUCUUGAUCCGAUGAGUUGUUGGUCUUUCCUUUGUUUUCGGGUUGAUGGCGUUCCAAUGUUUCAGAUGAUCGCUGGGCAAUCUGUUGUUACUGAUUGUUGAAUAACCAAGACUGGAACAAGACGGUACUCUGCAGGAUCAAUCCAAGUCCUUCACGCUUCUAACUGUUGUAACGG